rnacentral:lncRNA from 1 species
UUGCAUUGGCCCCGGGGAGAGAUCCAGGACUUACUCGGUGUGAGGAACAAACCUAGAUUCUCAGCAGGGGAAAGAGAUUUCAAACCGCGGCAGCCAGGGGCCUUGACCAGGCAACAUCGUGCACGAGCCAAGGGGAAGACUCUGUGCACAUCCUAGAAGUGCCCAGCUGCCUUCUUAUUGUAACCCCAGUGACCAUAUCUGGGUUUACAUGCCUGUUUCUAGACCAGUCACAGGCAAACCAGAAUGGAAUGCUCUACAGGCUGCCUUGGGAAAAGUGUGAUGUGCUCUUCACGGGAACAGCAGUGAGUCUAUCGUGUCCAUUAAGAGAAGGGGCUCUGAAGCCUGAUGACCACAGUUCAAAUCCUGGCUCUAUCAUUCCUGAGUUAUAUAACCCUUGCCAAGGAGCUUAACUUUUUGUUCCUCAGUUUUGCCAUCUGUAGAAUGGUGAUAAUGAUACUUCCCAGGUUGACAUAACGAUUAAAUGUUUAAUGUACAAAAGGUGCUUAACACAGUACUUGGCUCGCAGCAAAGGUUAACUACUGAUCAUCUAUUGUAUAUUUCAAAGUAGCUAGAAGAUAGCAAUUCAAAUGUUUCUAGCAUGAAGAAAAGACAACAAUUUAAGGCAAUGUAAAUCCUGAAGAUAAUGAUUUGAUCUUUACAAGUUAUUCAAAUGUGUUAAAUGAUCACAUGUAUCCCCAAUGUAUGUACAACUAUUAUGUAUUAAUAAAAAAAUUUAACAAAAUUAAAAAAACAAUCCUCAAGACUGAGCAAUUCCUUGUCUGAAUAAAAUCAGGAAAAGGUCCUAGAUGUUGGGUGGGCAACUCCAGUGUCCGCCACACAUGGUCACCCUCCAGUUCACAGACAAGUAAACAAGCAAU